CGAGACACCAUGGAGGAACCUGACCAUCAUCACAUCUGCCCUGCUGAAUGUGCUUCUGAUCAUUGCAUUAAUAGGCUUGGUAAAGAGGUAUCU